rnacentral:lncRNA from 1 species
GGAAGCUCCUUUCAGAUAGAGACAAGGGAUAUUUGACUUCUUAUCUCUGUUGUCCAGCACAAUGUCCAGAACACAACAGAUAUUCCAUAUGCACAGUCACAUGCUAUGUAUGUGUAUUUUCUUUCCAGAAAGGACUAGAGGUCCUAAGCUUUGUUAAUAUCAUGAGCCAGUGCCCACAUGAGCAGGAGAAUUUUAGCACAGUCACCUACACACUCAUUUCGAUGCUCUGACCCCUUAUCCAAGCCAGUCAAAGUGUGGUCUAUGGUUUUGCAUUUUAAAGAGAUCCCUGGGUGAAUCUUGUGCAUGUUACAGGGAAGCACUGUCCUACAUCCUAUGUGACAGGCUCUCAUAGUCACCAUCAUCAUGGGAAUCUUGCACAUGUUACAGGGAAGCACUGUCCUACAUCAUAUGUGACAGGCUCUCAUAGUCACCAUCAUCACGGGAAUCUUGCACAUGUUACAGGGAAGCACUGUCCUACAUCGUAUCUGACAGGCUCUCAUAGUCACCAUCAUCACGGGAAGCUGCAUUUAGAGCAUUUAACUGUAUGGGCUCUGAAAUCAGAUGACUUAGGUUUGGGCUUGCCUCUACUUCUUACUAAGCAGAGAACUUUGGGGCAUGAUACUUAAUUUUACUAGGCUCAGUUUUAUCAUGUGUAAAUUGGAGGCAAGGGGAAAUUAUAGCAUUUUGCAUAGAAUAUUGUUUUAAGUAUGAA